UACGUAGGGGGCAAGCGUUGUCCGGAAUUAUUGGGCGUAAAGGGCUCGUAGGCGGUUUGUCGCGUCGGGAGUGAAAACACCGGGCUUAACUCGGUGCUUGCUUUCGAUACGGGCAGACUAGAGGUAUGCAGGGGAGAACGGAAUUCCUGGUGUAGCGGUGAAAUGCGCAGAUAUCAGGAGGAACACCGGUGGCGAAGGCGGUUCUCUGGGCAUUACCUGACGCUGAGGAGCGAAAGCCAGGGGAGCAAACGGG
rnacentral:rRNA from 1 species